UCAGGCGUGCGGGAGCCCUUGCGCUGGCCAUGGACAACCCUACACCGGCCAUGGUUGCAAAUUUGUAUACCACAACAGGUCCACGUAGUGACGGCCGGUUGAUGGAUCCAUCAAGCUGCCAUGCAUCCAUACUUUCGUGUACGCAGCAUGCAUGCCAUCCGAUCGACCACGGUGGAGAUAGCUAGCAGCCUAGCACCGUGAAAUGUAUGUGC